ARCCAAACGAAAGCUAUUUAAAUAAACCAUACUGAAACAACAUUGGAGUAACACUCAUGUUCUGUAUCAACACCCUAAAUGUUAAUUUAACCACUAAUCUUAGUUAUAGAACCAAUAUAUCUUGCCAGAAAAUACAAGCCAACCCAAAACAACACCUUAUAGGUAGAUAUUGUAAUUGGGCACUAACCAUAUAGGAAAUCAGUGCAAGACUUUCUAGUAAUAUAUCUACAAAUGUUAUCUGAAAGGGUCACACAGUAAAAAUAUUAUCAUGGUUGCAGUAGUGAGUAAGGAAGUUACAUUUGGUGCAAAUUUAGAUUUGAUUUUCCACCAUCCUCCAUCAUGCGGUACCAUAUUCCCUCAAAACUAAUAUCAAUAAAAUGCAUAACUUGUAGAGGUCGUCAAUAAUGGAUGUUGGAGUCUAGUAAAUUUUUGUGCUUUUCUUAUAAAUGUGUUAAAAACAUGGAAUAAGCAAUUCCCAAUAUUUGGUAUCACAAAAGAUGAACUUAGCAAGUUGGAAUGGGUUAAAUCAUCUUCUAUUUUGAAACAUGUACUAAAUCAUGAGCAACAUUCAUUUUUCCUUCAUUGCCUAAAAUUGGGUUACAAACCACAGAUCGUUUGAACAUAUAUUAGCAAAUUCUGUUAAGAAUGCAUCUAUGAAGACCACCAUAAGAUUUUGAACAAAAGAAAUAACCAUGGGG
rnacentral:lncRNA from 1 species